UGCCAGCAGCCGCGGUAAUACGGAGGGUGCAAGCGUUGUUCGGAAUUAUUGGGCGUAAAGCGUACGUAGGUGGAUUGGGAAGUCAGGUGUGAAAGCCCACAGCUUAACUGUGGAAUUGCGCUUGAAACUCCCAGUCUAGAGGAAGGUAGAGGUAUGUGGAAUUCCAGGUGUAGAGGUGAAAUUCGUAGAUAUCUGGAGGAACACUCGUGGCGAAGGCGGCAUACUGGGCCUUUCCUGACACUGAGGUACGAAAGCGUGGGUAGCAAACAGGAUUAGAUA
rnacentral:rRNA from 1 species